rnacentral:rRNA from 1 species
UGGGGAAUUUUGCACAAUGGAGGAAACUCUGAUGCAGCGACGCCGCGUGAACGAAGAAGGUCUUCGGAUUGUAAAGUUCUGUCCUGGGUGAAGAUAAUGACGGUAACUUAGGAGGAAGCUCCGGCUAACUACGUGCCAGCAGCCGCGGUAAUACGUAGGGGGCGAGCGUUGUUCGGAAUUAUUGGGCGUAAAGGGUACGUAGGCGGUUUGUUAAGUUUGGUGUUAAAUCACGGGGCUCAACCCCGUUCAGCGUUGAAAACUGGCAAACUUGAGUAGUAGAGGGGGAAGUGGAAUUCCUAGUGUAGCGGUGAAAUGCGUAGAGAUUAGGAAGAAUACCGGUGGCGAAGGCGACUGUCUGGAUACAUACUGACGCUGAGGUACGAAAGCGUGGGGAGCAAACGGG